UAAAGCAUUCUUUCCUAAAGUGUGAUUGUCAUCAUGUGAAAACCAUGCCUAUGUGAUAAAGCAAAGUCACAAAGGAUAAUGCUAAUAGAUUUGCUAAUACAUUUUAAAGGUUCGUUGUAAUAUGGAAACAGAACCAAAAAGUAAACGAUACAGUUUGACACAAAAUAUAUACAAUAAGUAUAUUAAAAAGCUAGUAUAUGUAAUAUGUAAAGAACUCUUCAACUUAAAAAAAAUUCCAAGUGAUCGUUCAUAAAAUAACUAAUGGAAAGGACCUGAUUGUUUUUAGUCAUUCUCACUAUAACCCAAAAAAAGCAAAUUAAAAACUCCAGUGAGUUAAUAAAAUUUUACCCAUCAAAUUGGCAAAGAAGAAAAAAGGCAGUAGGAAUUUGUAAGGGAGAUUGAUAUUCUUGUACACACAGGAGGCAGAAUAAUAAAUUGAUUCAGUUUUUCUAGAAAGCAGUUAGGCAACAUUUGUCGAACAUUUAAAAAGGUUUAUCCCUUUGUGGUUUGUUUUUUAAAUGUUUAUUUAUUUUGAAAGAGAACACGUGUGAGUCGGGGAGGGGCAGAGAGAAAGUAGAGAGAAUCCCAAGCAGGCUCCACUCUGCCAGUGCAGAGUCCGACAAGGGCCUCAAUCCCACGAACCGUGAGAUCGUGACCUGAGCCGAAACCAAGAGUCGGACGCCUAACCGACUGAGCCAUGCAGUUGCCCAGGGUUUAUCCCUUUGACCCAGUAAUGCCACAUCGAUGCAAGUAUGGUCAGAAAAUAAUCAGAGAUAGCACAGGAAGACUUAUAUAUGAUAAUGUUCAUUGCAACACUGUUUAUACUAGCAAAAAGGAUAAAAUAAAUAUAUGCCAUUCUUAAAUGUUAUUUAAUUAACCAUGUUAUCAGAUUAGGAGAUACUUUAAUUUUUUGAAAAUAUUUUUGAAACAUUAAUGAUAUGGAAAAGUCUUCAAAAAGUGCCGAGUAAGAGUUGGAUUCAAGUUUAUGUACUUUAUAUAGUCUCCCUUUUAAAAAUAUUUUAUGUACAUAUAUAAAAAUAUGUGGAUGGAAAUAUACUAAUGUACUACCAGUAGGUUCUCUCUGGGUGUUUGGGAUCGUGGCUGUUUGUUUUCUGUAAAAUUUUGAUUUCCAGUUGUCAUAGAAGGAGUAUGUAUCUCUCUCUCACACACACACAUACACACACACACACACACACACACACCCCAAAUGUUAUUUAAAAAAGAAUUGCCUUCCUAAUUAUUAACUAUAAUUCAUUUAAGUAAAUUUGGCUUUUGUGUAACAAAAUAAAUUUCGGAGGAGGGCACUUGUCUUUAACCGGCAGUUGUAUUGAAUAUAGUUGCAGUUAGUAAGGCUUUCAGCUGGGAAGAACCGAAAGCCCGGUGUAGUCAUACCGGUGUAGGCAUAGGGUGUUGGUUCAGUAGUUCAGCGGGAGGGCUGGUGUGUCUCGAAUCCCACAUUGUCGCCAAAUAGGUGCCUGAAUGCCUGGCAGUGCGCCAUUCAAGGUGGGAGGGGUGCCGGGAAAGGGGCCAGGGAGGGCCAGCACCAUUUGUCUCUUUUGUCAGGUAUGCAAUAGCUUUUCCCAAGGCGAGUUUUAGAUUUCAUUUGACACAGCUGUGUUCUACGACCAUCGCCAGGACCAGGAAAGUGACCGUUUAGCUUUUAAAGCCCGAGUAUUAGGGGCAGGCAGGGGAGAAAGGGGUUGGAAACGGGUAUCGGAUUAGUUAGCUAACAAUAUCUGCCACCAGUAACAAACAGAAAAUCUUCACUUAGAUUGCGAUAGUCACUAAAUACUGGAAAAAUUAAAAAUAGAUGAGGGUUUUUUGUUUGUUUGGCUGUUAGUACUUUCCUCUGACUCCCGUUAGGCUGCCAUGAAUUAUGGUUUGCUUCUGCCUCAUUUCAAGUGAUUAGUAGAUGUAGUAGGCAGAAUAAUGGCCCUCCAAAGAUAUCCCUGGCCUCAUUGCCAGGACCUGCGAAUAUGUCACAUCACGCAACAAAGGGGAAAUGAAAUCGCCCAUCCGCAGGUAGGGAGAAUGGUGUGGAUCAUCCAGGUGGGCCCUAUAAGGAUAAGGGUCCUUAAAAGCGGAGGAGGGCAGCAGAAGCGUCAGGAAAGAGAUGGGAUGAGGGGAGCAGGGCGCAGAUACAGUGUUGCUGGAUUUGGAGAUGGAAGACGGGGGCCGGGAGCCAAGCAAUGUGAGUGGCCUGUAGCAGUUGGAAAGGGCAGGGACGUGGGAUUCACCCUACAGUUCAGAAAGGAAUGUAACCAGUGAGACCGGUGUUGGGUUUCUCACUUACAGAACCGUUAAGAGAAAGAAAUGAAUGUUGUCUUACGUCUCUAAGUUUGUGGUCAUUUGUCACAGCAGCAGUAGAAAAGGAAUAGGUUUUGUGGCAUGUACGGGUAUCGGAUCAGCACACUAAAAAAAAAAAAAUUGUACAAUGUCAUAUGCCAAUUAUCUCUCAAAGUAGGGGGAAAAAACCACUAGAGGUUUUGGUACCUUGGAGUGGGGUGCUACGGUAACAAGUACCUAAGACUCUGGAAAUGGCUUUGGAGUUGGGCAAUGAGUAGAUGCGGGAGGAAUUUGGGGGCGCAGGACAGAAAAAGCUGACACCGUCUUGAACAGAACGUUAGUAGAAACCGGGAUGUUAAUGAAGGGUAGACUCAGAAAGAAGUGAGGAGUAGAGAAAACACUGUUCAUGGUAGAGAAUGCAGAGAUCGUUGGCGGGAAUGUGGACGUUAAUGGCGCCGCUGCGGAGGGCUCAGAAGGAGAUGAGGAGGGCGUUUAGGUCCUGGAGGGAAGGGAACCCUUGUCCUGUGGUGGCAGAGAGCUUAGGAUUGUGCCCUGAAGUUAUACAGAAAUCAGGACUCGUGAGCUUGGCUGUUUAACUGAGAUUUCCAGAGUGUUGAGGUGCGGCCUGGUUUCUUUUUGCCACUCACGGUAACACGUGUGAGAGUAGAGAAAUAAAUCGAGGAGACACCCGUGAAAGAACCAGACGUUCCUUACAAAUCCCAAAUCAUUAUGUUGUGCACUUGAAACUGAUAGGUUAUAGGUCCACUAUGCCAAAAAAAAAAAAAAAAAAAAUCAAGAGUUUUUUUGGAAAUUCUCAGCCCGCCCUAAUUGCAAAGGACGCAAACAUCAAGAGAUUCAGUAGGAAAGUGUGCUCUAAAGGAAAAGUCAAAGGAGUUACUCUAUAGCCUUUUGCUAACACCCCAGGAGGAUGAAAAGGUCAGAGUCUUCACUCACACAAAACACUCUGAAGAGAUCAAGGGUGUGACUCAUAGAUUCCCUCUGCAUCUAAGCAGAAGCCGGAAAUAGAGAUGGGGUUGUUUAGGCAAGAUCUGUGGUGAGGCUCUGGUCUAAUGGAGUGAGUCUCUGUACGUAUAUGGUAGUCCCACAGGGCUCUUGAGGAUCUUAACCAGCAUCACCGCCAGCGUGGACUGAAAGGGACAGAGGGAGGACAAAGUGAGAGAAAGUUGCCCGGGUCCCAAAUUCUACAGCAGGAUAUGGGCCGAGAAGACCGAAGACUGCUCAGCUUUAAACACAUGCUGCCCUUUAUGAAAACGAAAGGAUGGCCCUGAGGGCAGGGGAGCAGGACCAGAGCAUGGAGUGGAGAAUGACUGAGCAUUCUGCCCAGCACCCGAAACCUUUUCCAGCUUGCUUGGCUGGGUUUCAGAAUUGCUUGGGACCAGUGACUUUCUUUUAUUUAUUUUCCCCAUUCCAUUUUCUCUUUGUGAACAGGAAUGUCUGACUAUUAUCCUGGGGUGGUCCCGCCGUUGUAUUUUGGGAGCAGAGAACUUGUUUUCUAAUUUCACAGGCCCACAGGUGGAGAGGAAUUUUGCCUCAGGAGAGAGGCUACCCAGUCUGCCCCAUACCUAAUUGAGAGGAUUUUGAUGAUAAGGUCAGGGGUUUUGAAUCCGUGGGAGGUAGAUGAGCUUCUGGACUCUAGGUUGGUGCUGUAAAGCGAUGAGAUUUGGGGGGAGCUUGGGAUGGGGUGCAUGAAUCUUGUCUGCGAGGUAGAUGUAAGCCCCACUGACACAGUCAGUUUAGCCCAAUGAGACCCACAUUGGACUUCUAACCCAUGGAACCGUAAGUUGAUAAAAUUUUGUGUUAGGCCACCAACUGUGGCCGUCUGUUACAGCAGGAAUAGAAAACUAGACACGGCCAUUCAGCACAUGUAGACAACGAUGUGACCUUGCUGGGAAACCAUGGUGAUUAAGAAAACCUGAGGGCAGACACCUCACAAAAGAGUAUAUGAGUGGCCAAUAAAUACGUGGAAUGUUCUAGAUGUUAUUAUCAGGGAAAUGCAGAUUAAAGCCCCAGUGAGAUAUCAUUCCAUACCCAUUAGAAUCUAGGUUCAAACCACAAAGCCCGACAGCACCAAAGUCAAAGAGCCUGCUCCAAGGCCAGGUGCGUUGUAGGGGGGGUGUAGGAUAGCAUAGCCACCUUAGAGAAACUUACGCAGAAGACUUCCAAGAGGAAAGAAUAAUUUAAAGCCCCGAAAGGCUCCAGGUACACUCGACCAAUUAUCAAUGUUUUGGAAUGGAUCAAUUCAACAUUAGAAAGAUUUCAGUCCUCUCUAAAUUAGUAAGUUCAAUGCAAUCUCAGUGAAGCAGCCCACAGGCCGUAUAUUAUGAACGUAGAAAAAUUGAUACUAAAGUUUCAGUCAAAAAACAAGUAUUUAGGAAUAGCCAGGAAAGAACUGUAGAAGAACUGGGAGCUCUCCCAGUCAGUGAAGCAUUAAGGCCUGGACCCUUAAAGCAGUAUGGUCCUGGCACAUGGAUGGACAGACCAGGGGAAUAAAAUUGUGUGAUGACUUUGUAAUGUGUCACCAUGGCCAUGCUGAUCUACAUCGUCAGAGGUUUUUUUGGUACAAAUGUAUAGAAUUAGACCCCAAUACACAUAGAAAUGUAGUAUAUGACAACGGGUGGCAUCUCGGAUCACUGGGAUAAACACUGGGGUGCUUUCUAAUAUGUGAUGCUGAGACAACAGAGUAGUCCCUUGGGAAAAGACAAAAUCAGAUCCAUAUGUCACAUCCUAUCCACGAAUAAACUCUAAAAGGAGAUGGGGUGCCUGGGUGGCUCAGUCGGUUAAGCGUCCGACUUCAGCUCAGGUCACGAUCUCGCGGUCCGCGAGUUCGAGCCCCGCGUCGGGCUCUGGGCUGAUGGCUCAGAGCCUGGAGCCUGCUUCCGAUUCUGUGCCUCCCUCUCUCUCUGCCCCUCCCCCGUUCAUGCUCUGUCUCUCUCUGUCUCAAAAAUAAAUAAACGUUAAAAAAAAAAAAAUUAAAA